ANCUUGCUAGAAGUGGAUUAGUGGCGCACGGGUGAGUAAGGUAUAGUUAAUCUGCCCUACACAAGAGGACAACAGUUGGAAACGACUGCUAAUACUCUAUACUCCUGCUUAACACAAGUUGAGUAGGGAAAGUUUUUCGGUGUAGGAUGAGACUAUAUAGUAUCAGCUAGUUGGUAAGGUAAUGGCUUACCAAGGCUAUGACGCUUAACUGGUCUGAGAGGAUGAUCAGUCACACUGGAACUGAGACACGGUCCAGACUCCUACGGGAGGCAGCAGUAGGGAAUAUUGCGCAAUGGGGGAAACCCUGACGCAGCAACGCCGCGUGGAGGAUGACACUUUUCGGAGCGUAAACUCCUUUUCUUAGGGAAGAAUUCUGACGGUACCUAAGGAAUAAGCACCGGCUAACUCCGUGCCAGCAGCCGCGGUAAUACGGAGGGUGCAAGCGUUACUCGGAAUCACUGGGCGUAAAGGGCGCGUAGGCGGAUUAUCAAGUCUCUUGUGAAAUCUAAUGGCUUAACCAUUAAACUGCUUGGGAAACUGAUAGUCUAGAGUGAGGGAGAGGCAGAUGGAAUUGGUGGUGUAGGGGUAAAAUCCGUAGAUAUCACCAAGAAUACCCAUUGCGAAGGCGAUCUGCUGGAACUCAACUGACGCUAAGGCGCGAAAGCGUGGGGGAGCAAACAGGAUUANAUACCCUGGUAGUCCACGCCCUAAACGAUGUACACUAGUUGUUGGGGUGCUAGUCAUCUCAGUAAUGCANCUAACGCAUUAAGUGUACCGCCUGGGGAGUACGGUCNCAAGAUUAAAACUCAAAGGANUANACNGGNACCCGCACAAGCGGUGGAGCAUGUGGNUUUANUUNNAAGAUANNNAAANAACCUUACCUGGGCUUGAUAU
rnacentral:rRNA from 1 species